GCUCAAUACAGCUCAUCUUAUUUUAGAAUUUGGUAGUUUGGAUUAUGCAGUUCUAUGCCUGCUUUUGGUCAGUUUCAUACAUUUACCUAUCCCUAAAAUUAAUAAUGACAAUGGCCAAUGCUGAGCAUCAUGGAUCAGGCACUGUGGCUGGGAAUAAUGUUAUUCCUAUUUUACAGAUGAGGAAACUGCGGCACUGAGCGGUUAAGCACCCUAUCCAAAGGUGGUUCUGUAUAAGUACCCUUCCCAAUGUCCUUGUCCCUCUAUUGCUUUGGUGAUAUGCACUUUGAACUUGAAGUGCUAAAAAGGAAGCUGAUGUGGAGACAACAGAAUGGCAUCUGUUUUGCAGGCAAGAAGAUAAAGGAAGGACAGAGGUUAAACUAAGAGAUGCAGAAAUUAUAGUAUAUCAGCCAGGUGUGGUGGCUCAUGCCUGUAAACCCAGCCCUUUGGGAAGCCGAUGCGGGCGGAUCACGAGAUAUUAAUCCAAGGAACAAUACUGACGAAUUUCAC
rnacentral:lncRNA from 1 species